rnacentral:sRNA from 1 species
UGCAAUUCCCUGAGAGAUGUGAACCAGUCCAGGGCCCCGCGUGGGAGCUGAAGGGGAGGGAGCCCGGGGACUACCAGGACCAGGCUGCCGAGAGCCUCCUCCUCCUGUGCCCACCCGCGACCCCUGUCCAGGGACGUUGUACCGCUACACGCUGCUGCUCUAUGGGACGGCCGAGGACAUGACAGCGCGGCCUACAGGCCCCCAGGUGACCAGCAGCGCGUGUGUGCAGCGGGACACAGAGGGGCUGUGCCAGGCGUGUGACGGCCCCGCCUACAUCCUGGGACAGCUCUGCCUGGCCUACUGCCCCCCGCGGUUCUUCAACCACACGAGGCUGGUGACCGCCGGGCCUGGGCACACGGCGGCGCCCGCGCUGAGGGUCUGCUCCAGCUGCCAUGCCUCCUGCUACACCUGCCGUGGCGGCUCCCCGAGGGACUGCACCUCCUGUCCCCCAUCCUCCACGCUGGACCAGCAGCAGG